UCUAGUUUAAUAUUAUAAAAAGAUAUAAGAAAUAUAAAUUAAGUAGGAGUUUUAAUACUAGUAAAAUACUACUAUUCCUAUUAUCUUUUUACUUAUUUAAUAAAAUAAGGUUAGAUUUAUAUUUAACUUCUAGUUUUAAGGUUUUUUAUAGGUUGACCUAAGUUGAAAAUAUUAUUAGGUAGAAA
rnacentral:ncRNA from 1 species